UACGUAGGGAGCAAGCGUUUGUUCGGAUUUACUGGGCGUAAAGGGCGCGUAGGCGGCAAUUCAAGUCAUCUGUGAAAUCUCCGGGCUUAACUCGGAACGGUCAGAUGAUACUGUUUUGCUAGAGUGCGGAAGGGGCAAUCGGAAUUCUCGGUGUAGCGGUGAAAUGCGUAGAUAUCAGAGGAACACCUGAGGUGAAGACGG
rnacentral:rRNA from 1 species